GACGAACGCUGGCGGCGUGCCUAACACAUGCAAGUCGAGCGGAGAUACAGCAAUGUAUUUUAGCGGCGGACGGGUGAGUAACACGUGGGCAACCUGCCCUACAGUGGGGGAUAGCCAACCGAAAGGUUGAUUAAUACCGCAUAACACUAAGAUAUCGCAUGAUAUUUUAGUCAAAGGAGAAAUCCGCUGAAGGAGGGGCCCGCGUCCCAUUAGCUAGUUGGUGAGGUAGAGGCUCACCAAGGCGACGAUGGGUAGCCGAUCUGAGAGGAUGAACGGCCACAUUGGAACUGAGACACGGUCCAGACUCCUACGGGUGGCAG
rnacentral:rRNA from 1 species